UUGGGUUGUUUGGGGUGGUACUUAUAGACCGGGUGGGGUGUGCAAGUGCUGUUGGGACAGAUCUCUCACACACAACUGGACAGAGGUAGAAGAAAGGAGAAUGCACACUGGAGUUUUUCCGGCGACUAACGCCUGGCCGCACACACAGCCACUUUGCUUCCUUUCCCUGAUGAAUACAUGUUCGCGUCCGCGGCUUUGUAGUCCUACAGGUACGCAGCGCCCACGUCUCCUGCGCACGCACCUAGAGCUAGCGAUCCGCCCGGCCAGCACGCACGAGGCGCACAACGUGCUAACGGCCAGCUCGAAGUGCCUUGGCUACCACGCACGCUUUGCGCUGCACUACACACACGCCACACGUACAUGCACACAGUGUUGUCGUAACCCAGCCUGCGGAACCCGACCCGACGCACCAACGUCGGUCGCACCGUCACGGACCCGAUCCAGCGCAUCGACGCCGGUCGCACCGUGCUCCGUCACGACUUAUUUCCAACAAUCACCCCCUAAGCCGUGACCUAGAGGAGCGCCGGCCCGACGUCGUCGUCGACCGCCGCGACAAGUGCGUGCUCCGUCCCCUCCGCCUGAAGCGGCUUCAGGCACUCCUGCCGGAAGUGUCCACGCUGGCCGCAGUUGUAGCAGCGCCCGCGGCGUCCUCGCCGCUUUCCUGGGCCACCCGACGCCGUGCUGCCCGCGCCGUCAUCAUCGUGGUCGAAACCGCCGUCGUGUUGACGUCGCCUUGCCUCCCAUUGAGCCGUCGUGAGUAGGAGCUGAUCGCCGCCACGUCCACCGUUGUCCUGAGUGCGCCGCCUCGUCCGCUCCUCGAACGCCUUCAGCCGGCCGAGCGCCUCCUCGAACGGCAUCUUGUCGACGUCGCAGAACUGCUCAAUUCCGGCUACCGCUGCGUACAGCCGGUCCGGCGCGGUGUCGAGCAGUUUCUUCACCAUUGCCGCGUCAUCGAGCGUCGCUCCCAGGGCCGCAAUACCUUGCUGCCAUGCCGCCGAUCCUUCCGGCGUACGCGUCCAGCUCGUCGCCGUCCUCCAUGCGCAGGCGAUCGAACUCACCGCGGAGAGUGGAGAGCCGCGCCGCCCUCACCCGGUCCGCACCGACGAACCGCGUCUUCAGACUCGCCUACAGCUCCGCCGCCGUCUUCUUCGACGACACCUGCAGCAGGAUGUCUUCGGAGAGCGCUCCGAGGAGGUAUGCCCUCGCCGGCUUGUCCUUCUUCGCGAUGACCGCCGCCGCCGAGUCCUCCGCCGGAACGACCGCUUCCCACAGCCCUUGCGCGUCGAGGUUCGCCUCCACCUUGAUCGCCCACACGGUGUAGUUGUCAUCGGUCAGCAUCGGCACGGGGAGCGACACCGUACUCCCUCCGGCGCCGUACGGGACGAUGGACAUGGUCGACGUAGUGGAUCGCAACGAAGCUCUGUAUACCAAAUGUUGGGACAGCUCUCUCACACACAACUGGACAGAGGUAGAAGAAAGGAGAAUGCACACUGGAGUUUUUCCGGCGACUAACGCCUGGCCGCACACACAGCCACUUUGCUUCCUUUCCCUGAUGAAUACAUGUUCGCGUCCGCGGCUUUGUAGUCCUACAGGUACGCAGCGUCCACGUCUCCUACGCACGCACGCACCUAGAGCUAGCGAUCCGCCCGGCCAGCACGCACGAGGCGCACAACGUGCUAACGGCCAG
rnacentral:lncRNA from 1 species